rnacentral:rRNA from 1 species
UAAUACGGAGGAUGCGAGCGUUAUCCGGAUUUAUUGGGUUUAAAGGGAGCGCAGACGGGAGAUUAAGUCAGUUGUGAAAGUUUGCGGCUCAACCGUAAAAUUGCAGUUGAUACUGGUUUCCUUGAGUGCAGUUGAGGCAGGCGGAAUUCGUGGUGUAGCGGUGAAAUGCUUAGAUAUCACGAAGAACCCCGAUUGCGAAGGCAGCUUGCUAAACUGUAACUGACGUUCAUGCUCGAAAGUGUGGGUAUCAAACAGGAUUAGAUACCCUGGUAGUCCACACGGUAAACGAUGGAUACUCGCUGUUGGCGAUAUACUGUCAGCGGCCAAGCGAAAGCAUUAAGUAUCCCACCUGGGGAGUACGCCGGCAACGGUG